GACCUACUCCCUCCGUCCGAAAAUACUUGUCAUCAAAAUGAAUAAAAGGGGAUGUAUCUAGAUGUAUUUUAGUUCUAGAUACAUUCCUUUUUGUCCAUUUUGAUGACAAGUUUUUUCGGACGGAGGGAGUAUGUU
rnacentral:pre_miRNA from 1 species